CCUACGGGAGGCAGCAGUGAGGAAUAUUGGUCAAUGGGCGCGAGCCUGAACCAGCCAAGUAGCGUGAAGGAUGACUGCCCUACGGGUUGUAAACUUCUUUUAUAAAGGAAUUAAGUGAGGCACGUGUGCAUUUUUGUAUGUCCUUUAUGAAUAAGGAUCGGCUAACUCUGUGCCAGCAGCCGCGGUAAUACGGAGGAUCCGAGCGUUAUCCGGAUUUAUUGGGGUUAAAGGGAGCGUAGAUGGGUUGUUAAGUUAGUUGUGAAAGUUUGCGGCUCAACCGUAAAAUUGCAAUUGAUACUGGCAGCCUUGAGUACAGUUGAGGUAGGCGGAAUUCGUGGUGUAGCGGUGAAAUGCGUAGAUAUCACGAAGAAUACCGAUUGCGAAGGCAGCUUACUAAACUGCCACUGACAUUGAUGCUCGAAAGUGUGGGUAUCAAACAGGAUUAGAUACCCUUGUAGUC
rnacentral:rRNA from 1 species